GACGAACGCUGGCGGCGCGCCUAACACAUGCAAGUCGAACGGGGACUGUCCGGAGCUUGCUUCGGACGGUUUCAGUGGCGGACGGGUGAGUAACGCGUGAGGAACCUGCCUUUCAGAGGGGGAUAACGUCCGGAAACGGACGCUAAUACCGCAUGACAUCCCGGGAUCACAUGGUUUUGGGAUCAUAGGAGCAAUCCGCUGGAAGAUGGACUCGCGUCCGAUUAGCCGGUUGGUGAGGUAAUGGCCCACCAAAGCUGCGAUCGGUAGCCGGACUGAGAGGUUGAACGGCCACAUUGGGACUGAGACACGGCCCAGACUCCUACGGGAGGCAGCAGUGGGGGAUCUUGCACAAUGGAGGGAACUCUGAUGCAGCGACGCCGCGUGAGGGAAGACGGUUUUCGGAUUGUAAACCUCUGUCCCCGGUGACGAUAAUGACGGUAGCCGAGGAGGAAGCUCCGGCUAACUACGUGCCAGCAGCCGCGGUAAUACGUAGGGAGCGAGCGUUGUCCGGAUUUACUGGGUGUAAAGGGUGCGUAGGCGGCUGAACAAGUCAGGUGUGAAAACCAUCGGCUUAACUGAUGGAUUGCACUUGAAACUGUGCAGCUUGAGUGAAGCAGAGGCAGGCGGAAUUCCCGGUGUAGCGGUGAAAUGCGUAGAGAUC
rnacentral:rRNA from 1 species